CUUGACAGACUCUAUAUUUUUAUUUAUUUUUUCUUGUUAUGUGUUUCAUUAUGACUGUACGAUUAUUGCAAUUGCAAUGCAUGUGUCUUAAGUUUACAUUUGUAUGUUGUUUCUGCUUAAAAGAAAAUAAAGGAUGUUAAUUCUUUAAAAAAAAACGAGUCACCUCUAAGACCUCUAUUUAAUAAUAAAUGUAUAUGUUUAUGACUUUUAGACGUGCGUCUUCCCGUUAUGUAACCAUAUAUCUUAGGUUUAAACGUUUCCUACCAAAAAGUCACCACAUAUGUUUUCUCAACCCUAACCUGUCAACCAAACCAGCAUUCAGUAAAAAACUACAACGGCAUGCGGAAAUGUCCGGAAGUUGCAAUACACAGUGCUGUGCGCCGCCAUAUUGUUUUGUAGUUCCAAUGUGUUUUCUCUAUUAUGUGAAGUUAACACAAGAAUAUUCUAGAAUUUAUGUUAGGUAUGGAGGAUGGAGAACACACCCACUCAGUCAAAUGUUAGGUUUCCUAACGGUAAAAGGGCAAAAUCAUGUUUUCUUCAGGAUUUAUCACUUAUCAGUGGUGCCCUCUAUUGACAUUUUUUCAGGUUAUAGUAGUACAGGGGCCUAUUUCACGAAGCAGGUUUUACAAACUCUGAGUUUCUUCCUCAACUCUGAGUUGAUCUACUCUGAGAUAGAAAACUCUGAGUUUUCGGUUUCACAACGGCUGAUUUGAGUUGGUUUAAUUAACUUGGAGUAGUUUGACCCGGAGUUACGCGCGUGCACCGCAAGUCUGAAAAGACAGCAUCAAUGGAACCCCGAUUCGACGAGUCACCAUGGAAACGGGGAAGCGAAAGGCUGCGUUUUUGAACUGGAAGUUUUUAACGCGCUCAUAUGGCGAGUUUGAACACGUUUUUAGAAAGAAGUGCAACACCGCUGCAGCUGCAAAAGAGAGAGAGACGGCGUGGAGAACAGCCCGGAUCAAUGCGAUGAAGAGGAUGAAACUGUGUCUGCUGCCUUUACAGAGGGGGAUCCAGAAAGGCAUACAGAGCUAUGUUACUGAUAGUUCUCUUCCCAUUCACAUUUUGGGUGGAAUAUAGAGUGUGACAUUUAGCCUACACUGAAGUAUUGCACAUUCUCAUCCUUUUUAACAGAGCAUGGCUGGACAGCAGCAGGAUGGUUCCUCAGCUUCCACUGCACAGACUGACACAGUGAGAUGGAUGUUCAGGAAACACCAGAGCUUCAUUCUGUGGAAUUCAUGUGCAACUGUAGAAUUGAAUGUCCUCUAUGUAUUCCCAGUUAUCAGUAAAACAGAUUUACAAACUGCAUUUGCUGAGAAAAAUCCAAAAAACAGAUUAGGAGGGCAGAUCUGGAAAUUGAAAUACUGGAGCACAAGUUAGAGGUGGUGAUGGUCACAGGUGAAUUAUGUUAACUACUGGAACAUGAACUGAACUAUCUUUUAUUUGUAGGAAAUAAAGAAGAGCAAAUGAAA